UACCAGCACCCCGAGUUGUCGGGACGAUUAUUGGGCCUAAAGCAUCCGUAGCCUGUUCUGCAAGUCCUCCGUUAAAUCCACCUGCUUAACAGAUGGGCCGCGGAGGAUACUACAGGACUAGGAGGCAGGAGAGGCAAGCGGUACUCAGUGGGUAGGGGUAAAAUCCGUUGAUCCAUUGAAGACCACCAGCGGCGAAGGCGGCUUGCCAGAACGCACUCGACGGUGAGGGAUGAAAGCUGGGGGAGCAAACCGG
rnacentral:rRNA from 1 species